rnacentral:rRNA from 1 species
UGGGGAAUUUUGGACAAUGGGCGAAAGCCUGAUCCAGCAAUGCCGCGUGUGUGAAGAAGGCCUUCGGGUUGUAAAGCACUUUUGUCCGGAAAGAAAUCCUUGGCUCUAAUACAGUCGGGGGAUGACGGUACCGGAAGAAUAAGCACCGGCUAACUACGUGCCAGCAGCCGCGGUAAUACGUAGGGUGCAAGCGUUAAUCGGAAUUACUGGGCGUAAAGCGUGCGCAGGCGGUUUGCUAAGACCGAUGUGAAAUCCCCGGGCUCAACCUGGGAACUGCAUUUGGUGACUGGCAGGCUAGAGUAUGGCAGAGGGGGUAGAAUUCCACGUGUAGCAGUGAAAUGCGUAGAGAUGUGGAGGAAUACCGAUGGCGAAGGCAGCCCCCUGGGCCAAUACUGACGCUCAUGCACGAAAGCGUGGGGGAGCAAACAGGAUUAGAUACCCUGGUAGUCCACGCCCUAAACGAUGUCAACUAGUUGUUGGGGAUUCAUUUCCUUAGUAACGUAGCUAACGCGUGAAGUUGACCGCCUGGGGAGUACGGUCGCAAGAUUAAACUCAAAUGAAUUGACGGGGUCAUAGCUGUUUCCU